UACAGAGGGGGCAAGCGUUGUUCGGAAUUACUGGGCGUAAAGGGCGCGUAGGCGGCCUUCUAAGUCGAACGUGAAAUCCCCGGGCUCAACCCGGGAACUGCGUCCGAGACUGAAAGGCUUGAAUCCGGGAGAGGGAUGUGGAAUUCCAGGUGUAGCGGUGAAAUGCGUAGAUAUCUGGAGGAACAUCGGUGGCGAAGGCGGCAUCCUGGACCGGUAUUGACGCUGAGACGCGAAAGCGUGGGGAGCAAACAGG
rnacentral:rRNA from 1 species